AUUGAACGCUGGCGGCAGGCUUAACACAUGCAAGUCGAGCGGGGUGAUGUAGCUUGCUACAUUACCUAGCGGCGGACGGGUGAGUAAUGCUUAGGAAUCUGCCUAUUAGUGGGGGACAACAUUCCGAGAGGAAUGCUAAUACCGCAUACGCCCUACGGGGGAAAGCAGGGGAUCUUCGGACCUUGCGCUAAUAGAUGAGCCUAAGUCAGAUUAGCUAGUUGGUGGGGUAAAGGCCUACCAAGGCGACGAUCUGUAGCGGGUCUGAGAGGAUGAUCCGCCACACUGGGACUGAGACACGGCCCAGACUCCUACGGGAGGCAGCAGUGGGGAAUAUUGGACAAUGGGCGAAAGCCUGAUCCAGCCAUGCCGCGUGUGUGAAGAAGGCCUUUUGGUUGUAAAGCACUUUAAGCGAGGAGGAGGCUACCGAGAUUAAUACUCUUGGAUAGUGGACGUUACUCGCAGAAUAAGCACCGGCUAACUCUGUGCCAGCCGCCGCAGUAAGAC
rnacentral:rRNA from 1 species